UACGUUUUAGAUUGAGUAAUAGCUAUAGUGCGUAAGUAACGCAAAGCUGGAAUAGCUCAGUUGGUUAGAGCGUGUGGCUGUUAACCACAAGGUCGGAGGUUCAAGCCCUCCUUCUAGCGA